rnacentral:rRNA from 15 species
GCUGAAGACGAAGCAUGUUCGGAAGUUGCUGAAUCUGAAAUGGCCCUCACCCCGAAGCAGCGGUUGAGGGCGGUACUCGCCCCGGAGAUCUUCGAUGCCAUGGUUAGUGCGGCGGAACAGAUGAAACUCCAAGGGAUUGUUUGGGAAGUAACUCAGAUUGAAGUGGUCCGAUGCUCGAUCGAAGGCAUCGCUGUGUGGACAGACACGUCUGGGAAAAGAGAUGAAAUGGUGGCGGACCGCGAGAUCUCAGGGGAAAGUGGCGAUGGGGGUGCCUCCCUACCCUCAUUAGACUCAGUUAGCGAAGGAGUAAAUAUGCUGGAUAUCGCGGUCGGCUACGAUGUGAAUGAGCA